AUGGACGCAGGUAGUUGGUCUGAUCUACCGCCGGAUCUGGCCCGCGAGAUCUCUGGCCGCCUGCAGCACGACGCCGUCGACUUAGCCCGCUUCCACGCCGUCUGUAAGCCAUGGCGAGACUCCCGGACGACGACGGCGGCGGGCCAGUUUCUGCCCUGGCUCGUCGCAGCGGUGGAGGAAGACGCCACGCGCCUCGAGAUGAGAUGCGUCCUCUCCGGCUACAACUACCGCUCGCAGCCGCUGCUGGCUGAGCCGGCCUGGUGGAAUUGGGUGACCAGCUCCGGCGGCACCGCCCUCUGGUGCCUGGCCAUCGAACGCCUCCGGCCUAGUCUCCAUGACCCUCUCACCGGAGCGGCCGCACACCUGCCUCAACUCCCGCAAUCCCUCGGUCUGUGGGGGAAGGAUAUCGAUCCCCACGGAGUCAUCUACGAAGACGGCGCAACCCUUCUCUACAGCAUCUCCAGCGCCGGGUCCAAUGCCACGUUCAGGGCAGCUCUACAUCGCCCCGGCGACGCAGAGUGGACAAUCAUCGAGAGGACCCUCGAGCAUCCCGCCUGGAGCUGGUCACCUCGUCCACCUGUUCUGUCGUGUGUCACAUACCACGAUGGUAAGAUCCUGGUCGUCAUGAAGCCUGAUCAAUGGCGCCUUGUCACACCAAACAGCAAUAUGGCCCGCGAUGAGCUUGUUGAGAGCCAGGAGACGCCUAUGGUGCAGGUGUGGUUUGGUGAAUCCACAUACAAAUACGAUUACAGCUACGUGCUUGAGUCUCGUGGUGAGAUUCUAUGGGUGUCGGUUAAGACCCGGGAAUAUGACAGGUAUCGCAUGGGGCCUGACCCCUGCCUUCUCAGCGUCAAGGUAUCAGUGCAGGCACUUGAGGAGCCUCUGUUGUACGAAUCAUCGGCACUCGAGAAGAUGAGAUGGGUGAGAAGGGAUGGCCGUAGUCUCGCCGACCGCGUGCUGUUCCUCGGUAGGCGCCAUAGCUUUGUUGUGGAUGCAGGCCGGGUGCCCAACGGCCACGGCGGGUGUGCCUACUUUAUCUACCACCAUAAUAGCGCCUUGACACAAGAGAAGCGUGGCGUGUUCAGGUGCAACCUCAUCGACGGAAAGACCGAGCUUGUACAGCGGCUGCCUCGAUGUUGGGACUACAAAAUGUGCCUGUGGUUCAACCCCGAGUCCAUCAUUACUCCUCCUCAGGAAAUCAGUGAGGGGUCACCAAAGCAGCAGAUAGCUCCAAUAAUUUCUAGUCUUCGACGACACAACAUUAACGUUGAGAGACAUCAUGUUCCCAGUUUUACAUUGCUGCUGCGCAAUCUGCCUCUUACGGUGAAGACCACUCAGCUACGGCUCUUUUUCAGCGAGCAUGGUAAAGUGUCCAAUGCUGAGGUGAUUUGCUAUAAGAAGACCAGGGCCUCACAGGGUAUUGGCCAUGUGACCAUAGAGACGACACAUUCCCAUCUGGAAGAUGCUCUUGCUGCUCUCAAUGAACUGGUUUUGGAUGGAUGCCAUCUCAAGGUUAGCUUGAUUAAGGAGGGGCAGCCACCACAACGUCGGCGUCGGCACAGAUAG
rnacentral:rRNA from 1 species